GAAAUUUUUUUUUGGACCUGGAUGACUUUUUGGUGAAAAUAGAGGUCUUCCUCUACUCGGAUUUGGCUGUCGAUUUUUUCUACACUUUUAGGUGUAUUUUGUGCAAGAAUAUGGAAUAAAAUCGUCCGCCUAAGAAAAAUUGAAUUUUUUUGGAAUUAUUUUUUUGGACCUGGAUGACUUUUUGGUGAAAAUAGAGGUCUUCCUCUACUCGGAUUUGGCUGUCGAUUUUUUUCUACACUUUUAGGUGUAUUUUGUGCAAGAAUAUGGAAAAAAAUCGUCCGCCUAAGAAAAAUUGAAUUUUUUUGGAAAUUUUUUUUUGGACCUGGAUGACUU